rnacentral:rRNA from 1 species
GGAAUCUUAGACAAUGGGCGCAAGCCUGAUCUAGCCAUGCCGCGUGAGCGAUGAAGGCCUUAGGGUUGUAAGGCUCUUUCACCGGGGAAGAUAAUGACGGUACCCGGAGAAGAAGCCCCGGCUAACUCCGUGCCAGCAGCCGCGGUAAUACGGAGGGGGCUAGCGUUGUUCGGAAUUACUGGGCGUAAAGCGCGCGUAGGCGGCUUUGUAAGUUAGAGGUGAAAGCCCGGAGCUUAACUCCGGAACUGCCUUUAAGACUGCAUCGCUAGAAUCGUGGAGAGGUGAGUGGAAUUCCGAGUGUAGAGGUGAAAUUCGUAGAUAUUCGGAAGAACACCAGUGGCGAAGGCGACUCACUGGACACGUAUUGACGCUGAGGUGCGAAAGCGUGGGGAGCAAAC